UACGUAGGGGGCAAGCGUUGUCCGGAUUUAUUGGGCGUAAAGAGCUCGUAGGCGGUCUGUCGCGUCGGCUGUGAAAACUCGGGGCUCAACUCCGAGCUUGCAGUCGAUACGGGCAGGCUAGAGUUCGGCAGGGGAGACUGGAAUUCCUGGUGUAGCGGUGAAAUGCGCAGAUAUCAGGAGGAACACCGGUGGCGAAGGCGGGUCUCUGGGCCGAUACUGACGCUGAGGAGCGAAAGCGUGGGGAGCGAACAGG
rnacentral:rRNA from 1 species